UUUUAUUUCAUUGCUACUAGCUUGUAAAAUUACAUCAACAGAAAGAAGAAUCUAACUCCUGCAAUCGUGUUGUUUCUAGCCGCCACAAGCUCUCUAAGGUGUCUUCAAUCAUUAACAUCCUCUUCAUUUUGAAAAUUAGUGUCUGGAAGUUGUAUACAAGAUAGAAUAAACAAUAGGAGGUUAGUGGGUUAGGAAGAUAGAGAUCACAUAGCUGGAACUGAAGAUAUGGGGUCACAUGCUGGAACAAUCAGAAGUUAACUACGUCUCGCAGUUUUAAGUUGAAUCCCCCUUGUAAGAGAGGUUGCUCUCAUGGCUGCAAAACAAACAGAGUGAAAGGGAUGAGGAUCUCACAACCCUUCGUGUCGAACUUCAGAACCUAAAAGAUGACGCUGCACUAGCCGAGGAACAACGACAAGAAGCUGAAGCAAAGGCUCUUCGAACAAUGGCAGAGAGAAUGAUUUUGACCCAAGAAGAAAUGUGCCAUGUACAAUUAUUUCAUAUACUUUUGUGAUUUUGAGAAGAAACUGUGGUUAGUUUUAGUAAUUUUGGACAUCAUGUUUAAGAAUACUGGAAUCACCUUUUCAAACUUUCGAUGAACUCAUGACAAUAUGCAAAUAAUUGCUAGUAUAGCUCUGCACUUUGUUAACGGUAGUGACGAGGAACUGACGAGGUUAUUCAAAGAUAGUAGUAAUAUGAUUAGAGGGGGCGUUUUGAAUGUUUUAGCAAAGUUCAGUAAACACUACGUUGAGAAGGAAGUCAGUGACAAGUUAUGUUUAGCAUGAUCUAGCUUCAAUAACAAAGGAUUUACGAGGAUUGUUCUUACACUGAAUUUUGCCUUUUCCUUUGUGCGUGCGACUUUUUCAAGGUUAUCAUUAGGCCUCUUUCCGACUAUGCGCCUCGUCUUUCACGAAGCUAAGUCCCGACUUUAUCCUUUUUCAUUUUUAUCAUUUAAAUAUUUAUUUGCAUGAUAAAAUUAUUAUUAGGGUUAAACCCUCGAAAGUCAAUGAACUCUUUUGCACUCACGUAUCUUGCCUGUUUUGCCCAUUUUGCAGGGUUAACCUCGAGGCUACCUCCGACUACGAACCAUAUCAGAUCAAAUUAAAAGCUAAGUCCUAUUUCGUAUUUAUUUUAAAUAAUCAUUCUAUUUUAAUUUUGUUUUUUUUUAUCAAAUUAGGGUUAAAAUUUGAUUGCCAUUGAAUUAGCCAUACACUCACAGCUUGCUUCUUCUGUCAAUUCUCAGAUGGUCAGAGUCAAGGAAAAUCUUUGCCCAUCAACCUUCAUAAAUCGAAGCUAAGUGUUUUUACCCUUCUUCUUUUAUCAUUAUUUUUUAUUGAUUAGGGUUAACCGUAUCUAACUUUUGAAUUGAUAAUGCACUCACCCUACUUUCACUUGCUAUUUUUCCCACCUUUUCAGGGUUUGUCAAUCGCCAAGGCUAUGAAUAAUUGGUAACCCUAAAACUCAAAUCCUAAUUAUUACUUGUCUCAAACCUAUUAAUCUUAUCCCGCUGGUUUCAAUUCCCCUUUCCCCCGCUGGUUUCAAUUUCCCUCUCCCGUUAUUGCUUUAAUUAUUAAUUGUCGUGGUUAGUAAUUUUAGGGAGUGAUAACUUUGAAUUGAAUCUAGAAUAACUAAUUACAAGAUAGAUAUCUGAAUUGAAUCACGUGAUUGUUGCACCCACGCACGCUUUUGGGGUAACCUCUCUGUUGCCUGUUGCCUUGUUGCCUUGUGUUUUUUUUUUGCAGGAUAGCCAUGUCCCUCGAAUACGAGGAUACCUCAGCCAUGCUGCCUCGAUAAAUAAAGGUCAUACGACCCUAAUGAUGCUGCCUUCGAUACACUGAUAUGACCUCGACCCUCGGAAGUUGCCUACGAAAAAGGCUGAGGUAUUCUCUGGUUGCCUACGAAAAGGCUAUUCUGGUCUUUCCCUUAGACUACCUGCCUCUCUAUGGCAUGGGUCAGUCUUGUGGCGAACGACAAUGCGAUGACCCUUCAAUCUCCAAAUGAAAGGCUUCCUGCCCUCUUAUGGCAAGGAUAGACCCUCUCACCCUGAAAGGCUAAAAGAACCUCUUUUUCAAAUAUUAAGGUAAUUGCCCCUAAUUGCUUUGCCUUGCUCUAAAACCUUUUUCUAUAUUCUUUCUCAUAAUUCUUCAAAAUGGCUACGCUCAUUUACGAGCUAAAGUCCACAUCUUUUUCUUCUACAUUUCUGAAAACAAAGAGCAAAGCAAUUAAGAGCCCAUGGAAAACCAUGGAUGCAAAGGGUGCCUUACACCUUCCCUUUGCAUAAUUACCCCCCGAACCCUGUUUUCUUUUAAAAGGUUUUUCCUGUUCUUUUAGCCUUUCCUAAAAUUGGAGAAAAUACAAGUCGGUGGCGACUCUUGCUUAACCGCGACAUUUCGAUAUAAAAGUCAGUUCACCGUAUUACAAUAAUGUAUGGAGAUUGGAAAAUAAAUUGCAUAUCCAUUCCUUGAAUAGUUUGACUACAAAAAUAAAGACUGAGUACGAAGCGCAAAAAUAGUACAAGGUUCAAAUGAAUUAGUCAAAAUCCUCAGGAAGGUUAUCUUUCAUCUUGGAAUAUUGGGAUUCCCAUAGAGACAGACGGCGUGCGAUUAAUGCCUGUUGUUUUUUCAGCUCUUCGAUUUCUGGCACUAAUUUAUGUGCCGUCUCGAAAUGUCGAAUUCCCAAUUGCGUCACUUCAGUUAAUUCUUUUUGUUGGGUUCGUUUGAUUGUCUCCUGGCGAGACCUGGCAGUCUUUAUCUUUUUUCGAGGCGUUUGAUCUCUUGUUUCCAGGAUUCGAUAUCUGCUUCACAAGUCUCGUGUUCCUCUUGGUUUUUUGUACGCUCAAGCUCAAGAGCCUUAGCUUUCUUUGUUGCAUCACCAGCAGCCUUCCAUGAAGAACCAUGAGAGUUUAUUUUCGCUUUGAGUUGUUCGUCAACAUUUCUCUUUCGAAGAAUAUCAGAUUGAAGUUGAUCGAUCAAAGAACUCAGCGAGACAAUCACUUGUGAAACUUUCUCUGAAACCAAGAGUAAAUCCACCUUCUUCAAAAGAUUGUUUAAACUAAAACAACUGGUGGAAUCCUUGCUUAGAACUUCGAUGAGGUUGGUUUCAAAGAACUUCUCCCUUAUUUGACGAAGGAGAUUAAGAAUAUUAUCCUUAUUACCACUCUCCGCCAAGACAUUAGGAGAAGUUUCAAGCCUGAUGGGUGAAGCGUUAUCAGCACUCAUCAUAGUCUCGAGGAAGCUUACAGGAUCAGUAUUCUUAAGUUGCUCUAGCUCUGCAGGAGUAAGCACUGCAGGGAUUUGCUUCGAAGUAGCAACAGGAGUAAAUAUAGUCCCGAAAGUCAAAGUUUCAUUAUUACCAGGUGUAGGCAAAUUGGAAGUCUCGUCCGCGGCCUCGUGUUCAGAGAUAGUGUCUUCGCUCCCAGCUGACUGUUCAACUAUAUUGUCACUAUUGGAACAUUGAGGAUUUUCUCCCAUGUUUUCAUCUUGGCGAGUGGGUGGAGAAUCAUCAUUUGAAUGACUUUCUUCAGCAUGCACAGUUGGAAUAAUAGUCGCAAGAGGCUGAGCGUCUUCGACAACCGGAGAAAGUACAAGGGAUUUGUGUUGAGGAACACCUGUACGAAUGAUCAGAAUUGAUUAAAAUGCAAAGGUUGCAAGAAAUUCGUUUGCCAGUAAAAGGAGCAGACACAUACCUUGAAGAUGAUCGAGAUCAAUGUUAAGACUUGAAGUUUUAAGGUCAGAAGUAGUUAUGCCCACGUCAUCCUAUAUUUGUAAGGUAAGAUGUAAGCUUAGCCACUAAAAUUAAAUAUGAAAAGUGGUCAGGUUUUGAAAUCUAGAUACCUUGGUUGGAACAUUAUCUGGGCUUGAGUUAUGGCUUUCCACAAUGGGAAUAGUACUAGCAAACUUUAAGGGCGACUCAUCAGAAGAUACCUUAUCACUUGAUGAAGUGAGCUUCGAAGCCCCAGAACCCUUUUUAGUCAAGGAAAUAGUGGUCUUUUGUCUUUUCUUCAUGGCUUGCCUGGUUCGAGGAGGAGACUUAUCUUCAUCAUCUGAAGCACUAGUAUUAGAAAUCGUUCGUUUUGGAGGUGUUGGAGGCUUCGAACUCUGAAAGUGCACAUUUAAACCAAGUGGGUAAUAUUCGAAAAAUUGCAUAAGUUAGAAUAUAAGGUAGGUACAUACCGUGGGUUUUUUGCCGGUGGUGACAGAAUCACUCCCACCUGCUUUGGUACUUUUCGAAGCUCCAGCGCUUUUCUGUGAAGAGGUUUCCUUAAUAACCCUCUUUCGAUUCACAGCUGUAAACAAAAUAGAAGUCAGUGUUUUGGUAAAAGAAAGAAAGUGAGUCGAAGGAUAAUUCAAACUCCAACCUUCAGGUAUAGGAGUCAAAACUCGAACGUGUGUCAUACCCUAAUUUUUGACCCCCCUGAGAUGACAUAUCUUCAGGAUUUUCAUCAGGUCAAAACAAGUACCCAGAGCAGUCAUUUCUUCAUCUGGCAUUCAAUCAAGGAUGUUCAAAGACAAGAAAACUCAGGCAAAGGAUCAAUCAAUAGAAGGAUUAGUCUCUAACACAAUCAUGGGACUCAAAAGCUUCACUUUUAUAUUCACCUAUGAUUGAUUAGAUACUCAGUCAUCUAAGUACAGGUUUACUCAGGUCACCAGACUAGGGUUUUUGAGCCUACCAAGGACUGAAAUCAGGGAUCACCUUUGGGAAACCCUAAAAAGCUCCAGGACAUCUAUUAAAGACUUCAAUCAUCUUCAAAUGAUCCAUACAAUAAGAUCCACUGGACAUCACACCUCAAUUCAAGAUCCACAGUCACCAAUUUCAUCUGGUCGACAAUUAGGGCUUUUAACCUAAUUCAUCUGGAUAGUUGACUUUUAAUCAGGGCAUGGAUCCAAAACUCAAGACAUGAUUCAAGAACCUCUACUACCUCAAUAUAACCCAUUUACAUCACUCAUUUGAGGAGAAGAUCUUAAUUCCACACAAAAGUCCAAAAUCUCACCUUAUUUGGAAAAAAGUCAACUGUAUGGGAUCACCUUUGACUUUUAAGAUUUUUGGUCAAACCAUGACUUUCAAAGAUCAAUAUCAUUAAUAUAUGGAUAUUAAAGUCAUUUGACCAAAGAAAUUCAAGAAGAAUCAUCAAGGAGCAAAAAGUCGGGAAUUAGGGUUUUUGAGGGUAGUGUGAGAACUCAAAUUUUCACCUACACAACUCAAAAAACUUCCAACAUGAAAGUUGUAGAUCUUGCAAAAUAAAACAACAUCUUACAAUGGAACGUUUUUCAAAAGAUCAAUCAUUUAAGAGAUUUGGAAAUUUUGAAGUUUUAGGUCAUAAACACUUAGAAAAUUUUCUAAGUGUUUUUAACCUAGUUUUCUUCCAACUUUGGCCUCAUUUUUCACAAAUUUGCCAAAGGAUUCUGAAGGAACCAUAAACUAAUGAUUUGAAGUAGAUGUUUAGGGCUUUCCAAAUUGUGUUCAACCUUCUCCAAAUUCAUUUUGAGCUAAGAGUUAUGCUUGUUCAAAGUUGGCCUCAUGAAGUGAAAUUAUAGGUCAUGUACAAUUUGAAACUUUGCAAUUUUGUGCAUUUUGCUUCACUAAGUGAUGCUACCCGACCUCUAAUGCAUCUGAAAACAUGCCAUGCAUCCAAAUUCAUCAUUGCAUAAGGAUUAGAGAAGAUUCCCAAAAACAAAGGCAUGUGAUUAUGUAAUGAUUGCAUUUUUGAAUUUAUGGCAAAUGAUUAAUCAUCAAGGAAUCUUGCUCUAAGCCAAUUAGAACUCUCCUCUGAAUCAGAAAUGUUCCCUUAGAUCAUACAAGAUCAAUGGUUGGGGAAGCUAGCCCGAAAAUGCAUCAUUGCAUUUAGGAUCUUUUCAAAUUUUCUUCAUGGCUAAGAAACCAAACUCACUUCACUAAGCAAACUCACUAUGCACAAUUACUCUGAACCAAUUGCCUAUAAAUAGAGGGCUCUUUCUCAUUCAGAAAACACACCAAAGCAACUAUAAUUCUUGCUUUCUCUCUUCUUUCUUCAUACUUAAGGUUUUCAAAGGUUCUUUGGCAAGAAGACUCGAAUUCUUCAAACCAGAGCUCUUCCUUUGGAAUUAAGUAUUCAAACACCUUAGGGGAGUCAAUUAGAGGUGAUCCAAACCUCUGAAACACUUCUGGGCGUGGAGAAUCAUCAUCUUCACCUCUCACUUGGAGCUGUUGCAGUUGGGGUCGAGCAAGAAAUUCUGGGCACUUUCAGUCCAAGCCAGGCAUCUCAACACCUUCCAAAGGAGUCAUUGAAGCUAUCUGGAACGUUACAACAGCUCUGUAACACCUUUUGAUCAGAGCCAAAUCUUCAUUUUUCAGGUAAGUUUCAAAAGCUUCAAACUCUAUGAUUCACGCAUGAUAAAUUUAAAAUGAAGUUACCAAUUGGUUUCUGCACCUUCAUAGAUCAUUAGCCCUCAAUCAAUUGCAUCAAAUCAUGCAUAUAUAGUAUUUCAUGUUUAAUUUCAGUUUUAGGGUUCUUAGUGUUCAUGCUUGCGAAUUUUAUGUUAUACUGAAAAUAAAUAAAAUUAAAGAACACCAUCAUGAUCCUCGUCCAAAAACGAGCAAAAUCCAUGUUUACAUCUUUAAGUUUGGUUGAGAAACGAAGGAGAUAGCAUUUUCAGAAAUUUGAAGCUUGAGGUUGAAGAUGAAGAUGGUGGCGCCAUUUUUUUGAAUUUCCCAGAAAUGCGUUUAUUUUAUUUUGAAUGAUGGGUGUGUUAUCUACGAAUUCAUCGUAGUGUCCCAAUGGUUACAGCGCGCGUCCAAAAGCUUUGCCUUGCCUUAGGUCUAGGGUUCGAUCCCCCCUUCAGACCUUUUAUUCAUUUAUUUUCUUUUUUAGCUCAUUCAUUGCUUUGUUCUACAUAUAAUCAUAUGGGCUCCCUUCUUAAACAAGCCACGCGCGUGGCCCAGUUGGUAUUUGUUUUGUUUGGUAAUCUAUAGGGCGUGGGUUCAAGCCUUGAAGGAGACAAACCCAAAAUUUUUAUCACUAUUUUCCUUUGUUUUAUUCACAAACUUCACAUAUUUAUUUAACCUAUCAAAUUAAUCCAUUUUCACUUCAUUUUUCACACACUUGUUAUUUAAUAUACCUAUUUUAUGAAUAAUCAAAAAAAUCAUAAAAAUAUUAUU